rnacentral:rRNA from 1 species
UUUAUUCACUGCGGCAGCUUACACAUGCAGUCGAACGGUGACGGGAAGAAGCUUGCUUCUUUGCCGACGAGUGGCGGACGGGUGAGUAAUGCUUGGGAAUCCGGCUUAUGGAGGGGGAUAACGACGGGAAGCUGUCGCUAAUACCGCGUAAUAUCUACGGAUUAAAGGGUGGGACUUUCGGGCCACCCGCCAUAAGAUGAGCCCAAGUGGGAUUAGGUAGUUGGUGGGGUAAAGGCCUACCAAGCCUGCGAUCUCUAGCUGGUCUGAGAGGAUGACCAGCCACACCGGGACUGAGACACGGCCCGGACUCCUACGGGAGGCAGCAGUGGGGAAUAUUGCACAAUGGGGGGAACCCUGAUGCAGCCAUGCCGCGUGAAUGAAGAAGGCCUUCGGGUUGUAAAGUUCUUUCGGUAGCGAGGAAGGUGUUUUGUUUAAUAGACAAAGCAAUUGACGUUAACUACAGAAGAAGCACCGGCUAACUCCGUGCCAGCAGCCGCGGUAAU